rnacentral:rRNA from 1 species
GACAGAGGUUGCAAGCGUUGUUCGGAAUUACUGGGCAUAAAGCGCACGUAGGCGGUCCGCUAAGUCAUGUGUGAAAUCCCCCGGCUCAACCGGGGAAUGGCGCCUGAUACUGGCGGACUCGAGAUCGGUAGGGGUGAGUGGAACUCCAGGUGGAGCGGUGAAAUGCGUAGAUAUCUGGAGGAACACCGGUGGCGAAAGCGACUCACUGGACCGACGCUGACGCUGAGGUGCGAAAGCUAGGGUAGCAAACGGG